rnacentral:rRNA from 1 species
UGGGGAAUUUCGGACAAUGGGGGAAACCCUGAUCCAGCCAUCCCGCGUGUGCGAUGAAGGCCUUCGGGUUGUAAAGCACUUUUGGCAGGAAAGAAACGUCGCGGGUUAAUACCCCGCGGAACUGACGGUACCUGCAGAAUAAGCACCGGCUAACUACGUGCCAGCAGCCGCGGUAAUACGUAGGGUGCAAGCGUUAAUCGGAAUUACUGGGCGUAAAGCGUGCGCAGGCGGUUCGGAAAGAAAGAUGUGAAAUCCCAGAGCUUAACUUUGGAACUGCAUUUUUAACUACCGGGCUAGAGUGUGUCAGAGGGAGGUGGAAUUCCGCGUGUAGCAGUGAAAUGCGUAGAUAUGCGGAGGAACACCGAUGGCGAAGGCAGCCUCCUGGGAUAACACUGACGCUCAUGCACGAAAGCGUGGGGAGCAAACAGGAUUAGAUACCCUGGUAGUCCACGCCCUAAACGAUGUCAACUAGCUGUUGGGGUCUUCGGACCUUGGUAGCGCAGCUAACGCGUGAAGUUGACCGCCUGGGGAGUACGGUCGCAAGAUU